rnacentral:rRNA from 1 species
UGAGGAAUAUUGGUCAAUGGGCGAGAGCCUGAACCAGCCAAGUAGCGUGAAGGAUGAAGGCUCUAUGGGUCGUAAACUUCUUUUAUAUGGGAAUAAAGUAUUCCACGUGUGGAAUUUUGUAUGUACCAUAUGAAUAAGGAUCGGCUAACUCCGUGCCAGCAGCCGCGGUAAUACGGAGGAUCCGAGCGUUAUCCGGAUUUAUUGGGUUUAAAGGGAGCGUAGGUGGAUUGUUAAGUCAGUUGUGAAAGUUUGCGGCUCAACCGUAAAAUUGCAGUUGAAACUGGGAGUCUUGAGUACAGUAGAGGUGGGCGGAAUUCGUGGUGUAGCGGUGAAAUGCUUAGAUAUCACGAAGAACUCCGAUUGCGAAGGCAGCUCACUAGACUGUUACUGACACUGAUGCUCGAAAGUGUGGGUAUCAAACAGG